UACGUAUGGAGCAAGCGUUAUCCGGAUUUACUGGGUGUAAAGGGAGCGCAGGCGGCUUUGCAAGUCUGAUGUGAAAGGCCGGGGCUCAACCCCGGGACUGCAUUGGAAACUGUAAAGCUAGAGUGCCGGAGAGGUAAGCGGAAUUCCUAGUGUAGCGGUGAAAUGCGUAGAUAUUAGGAGGAACACCAGUGGCGAAGGCGGCUUACUGGACGGCAACUGACGCUGAGGCUCGAGAGCGUGGGGAGCAAACAGG
rnacentral:rRNA from 1 species